rnacentral:rRNA from 1 species
AGGACGAACGCUGGCGGCGUGCUUAACACACGCAAGUCGAACGGAAAGGCCCUUCGGGGUACUCGAGUGGCGAACGGGUGAGUAACACGUGAGCAAUCUGCCCCUAGCUCUGGGAUAGCUCCGGGAAACCGGGAUUAAUACCAGAUACGACCACUUUAGACAUCUGUCGUGGUGGAAAGGAUUCCGGCUAGGGAUGGGCUCGCGGCCUAUCAGCUUGUUGGUGGGGUAACGGCCUACCAAGGCGACGACGGGUAGCCGGCCUGAGAGGGCGACCGGCCACACUGGGACUGAGACACGGCCCAGACUCCUACGGGAGGCAGCAGUGGGGAUAUUGCGCAAUGGGCGAAAGCCUGACGCAGCGACGCCGCGUGGGGGAUGAAGGCCUCGGGUUGUAACCCCUUUCAGCAGGGACGAAGCGAAAGUGACGGUACCUGCAGAAGAAGCGCCGGCUAACUACGCGCCAGCAGCCGC